GUCGGGGUGGCUCAGCCUGGUGGAGCGCCAGACUCAUAAUCUGGAGGUCGCGGGUUCAAACCCCGCCCCCGACA
rnacentral:tRNA from 1 species